rnacentral:rRNA from 1 species
CCGCGGUAAAACGUAGGGGGCGAGCGUUAUCCGGAUUUAUUGGGCGUAAAGCGCACGUAGGCGGCGCUGUAAGUUGGAUGUGAAAGCUCCCGGCUUAACUGGGAGAGGCCGUUCAAUACUGCAGUGCUUGAGGUUGGAAGAGGAGAGUGGAAUUCCCGGUGUAGUGGUGGAAUGCGUAGAUAUCGGGAGGAACACCAGUGGCGAAAGCGACUCUCUGGUCCACACCUGACGCUGAGGUGCGAAAGCGUGG